UGGCUGGAAGCCGGAACUGAAGAGCGCACCUCCUUCUAGUUGAGUCGCUCGUUCGAGUUAUUCGAGCCGAGAAAGAGAGAAAUAGAGAUCGAGCGGGAGGUAGACAAAGAGGUAGCGAGAAGAAGACAGAAAAAGAGUGUAUAUGGUGUGUGUGUGAGAGAGAGAGAGAGAGAAAGAUGACCAGACAAAAAGAAAGAGGGACACAGGUAGAAAGAGCGAGGGAGCGAGGAAGAUAGAGAGAGAGAGAGAGAGAGAGAGGGAGCGAGAUAUUGGCUUAUUUAUAAACGCAAGAUAAAGCGUGGCAGUGCCGUGAGAGGAAGCCGUUCGAGCAUGGCUCCCACGCUUCUAGAUACGCAUUACGUAUGCGCCUUAGCCUUUCGACUCCUACAUCGCACAACCGCCCAAAUGGACAACCAUGGAACCAUCAUUAUCCGUUAAUGCAUAUAUGGGUCUGUCGUGUACCAGUUUGUUUCCUACAUCAGGAUUUUUAACUGCUAUAGUCGAAUAGUUUUAUAAUUCGCAAAUGCAACAGAGUGUACCAUUUAAUCCUUAAUCAGACGACAUUCUAAUCCUUACAUCCUAAUAUUUCCAAAGAAGAAACCACAGAAAGGUUGGGAACCGGCGAGAUGGAGGAAGAGGAGAACGAGCGGAACUGAGGUCCGUGGAGCUUCCUUUCCUUCGGACAUGCCUCGCUGCUUCUUCGUCCUAUCCCACAGAUUACGAACAACUCUGCUCUCUUUCUGUCUUCCUUCAGCUAUCUCUGUUAUCUCAGUUGUCUCUGUCGUGAAUGCGACGAUACAGUAACCACGACAAUGCUGAUCGCUAUUAUGACCGUCUCGGCCUCGAAAGUAGGAACUACGUUCGACGCACCUACUUCCUGGACGACCAUCACCAACGCGCUGCUUCUCUUCAUCAGUUCACAACCUCACCGAUCUCCGUUGGAUUUUCUUUCUACCAGCGCAACGAUUUCUUUUCAAUCGUUUAAGCGUUUCAAGCGAGGAUUAAUA